GGGCGCUUAGUUCAGGGGGAGAACGCCUGCUUCACACGCAGGAGGUCACUGGUUCAAAUCCAGUAGCGCCCACCA
rnacentral:tRNA from 2 species